rnacentral:lncRNA from 1 species
GCACUGACGACGAGGAGGAGAAGGACGGGGUUCAUCCGAAAGUUGGAUAGAAGGACAUCUGUCGGUGGAAGGGAGGAGGGGCCCGGAGGAGAAGAAGGGAGAUCGCUUGGAAGUUGGAUGGAGGGGCGUCCGUCGAUAAAAGAGAGGAGGGAGCUGACGUAUCUUGAUUCGUGAUCGGAGUCGGAUGCCAGAGGCGGCGGCAUCGGCAAUGAGGAGGAAGAGGAGGGGGGAUCUAUAGAGCUAGGAGG